CGGCGGUCUAGCUGCUACGAUUCCAUCCGGUGAUCGAGAUUUCUUCGUUUCCGAUCGAUAGACAUCGCGACUCAGGCGAGAGGGAGCGAUCGCGCUUCAGUUUUGGCCAGCGUCGUACUUAAAGCUCAUCGGUAGCGCCUGUUGCCGACCAAGAAACCCCAAGACAGAGACACACAGACAGCCAUGUCUUACAUGAUGGCCGCCGGCUUUUGGGUGGCUGUAGGGGCAGCGGCGAUCCUCGGGAAGCACAGGUCGCCGGCAGGACGUCAGCAGGAACAGCUUCUAAACCGGGAACUAGAAUCAAAGAAGGAACUGUAUGAACUAAUCCGCGGUGGGCCAAGGACAGACAUGGGGCUGGGACGAUCCUCGAGAAGCAAAGGUCGUCAACCCAGUAAUCUGGAACGGAUUAAGCUGAAGGCAGAUUUGAAGAUGAAACAAUUAUUUGAACAACUUCGCCAAGCAGAGGCCAACCCGGUGCUCAAGGACCCGGCAACUCACUGGCCGUUCGAUUAAUUGAGCCUACAUACGGCUAGAGUUUAA